rnacentral:rRNA from 1 species
AGUGAACGCUGGCGGUAGGCCUAACACAUGCAAGUCGAACGGCAGCACAGUAAGAGCUUGCUCUUACGGGUGGCGAGUGGCGGACGGGUGAGGAAUACAUCGGAAUCUACUUUUUCGUGGGGGAUAACGUGGGAAACUUACGCUAAUACCGCAUACGACCUACGGGUGAAAGCAGGGGAUCUUCGGACCUUGCGCGAUUGAAUGAGCCGAUGUCGGAUUAGCUAGUUGGCGGGGUAAAGGCCCACCAAGGCGACGAUCCGUAGCUGGUCUGAGAGGAUGAUCAGCCACACUGGAACUGAGACACGGUCCAGACUCCUACGGGAGGCAGCAGUGGGGAAUAUUGGACAAUGGGCGCAAGCCUGAUCCAGCCAUACCGCGUGGGUGAAGAAGGCCUUCGGGUUGUAAAGCCCUUUUGUUGGGAAAGAAAAGCAGCAGGUUAAUACCCCGCUGUUCUGACGGUACCCAAAGAAUAAGCACCGGCUAACUUCGU